AGUCGAGGGGUAACAGGGAUUGCUUGCAAUCCGCUGACGACCGGCGCACGGGUGCGUAACGCGUAUGCAACCUACCUUCUACAGGGGGAUAGUCAAUAGAAAUGUUGAAUAAUACCCCAUACGAUCAUUAAUCUGCAUGGAUUGAUGAAGAAAGUUCCGGCGGUAGAAGAUGGGCAUGCGUCCUAUUAGUUAGUUGGUAAGGUAACGGCUUACCAAGACAUCGAUAGGUAGGGGUCCUGAGAGGGAGAUCCCCCACACUGGUACUGAGGCACGGACCAGACUCCUACGGGAGGCAGCAGUGAGGAAUAUUGGACAAUGGAGGCAACUCUGAUCCAGCCAUGCCGCGUGCAGGAAGACUGCCCUAUGGGUUGUAAACUGCUUUUAUACAGGAAGAAUAGGACCUACGUGUAGGUAUUUGACGGUACUGUACGAAUAAGGAUCGGCUAACUCCGUGCCAGCAGCCGCGGUAAUACGGAGGAUCCAAGCGUUAUCCGGAAUCAUUGGGUUUAAAGGGUCCGUAGGCGGUCUGAUAAGUCAGAGGUGAAAUCCUGCAGCUCAACUGUAGCAUUGCCUUUGAUACUGUUAGACUUGAGUUAUUGUGAAGUAGUUAGAAUGUGUGGUGUAGCGGUGAAAUGCAUAGAUAUCACACAGAAUACCGAUCGCGAAGGCAGAUUACUAACAAUAUACUGACGCUGAGGGACGAAAGCGUGGGUAGCGAACAGGAUUA
rnacentral:rRNA from 1 species